CUCAAGAUAUUAUUGUUGUCAUUGCUGUGGAUCUUUACCUGAUACACUGACUUGGCUCGGGACCAGCACUCCUGUUGUUGGACAGAAAGACAUCAACUUGAGAUAUGACUGCACUAUGCUGUUGCUGGUGACCACAGUUAAUUCUACAAGACAUGCUUUGACAACAGGAGAGACGAGUCCUCCGUCACAGAUGGUGUGGUCAGUGAAGAUGGUCGCCUGCAGGUUCAAGCUCAUUGCAUCUCCAACCCACAUCCACUGCCACUGUACUUAAGGGAAGUUAAAGACUUUCUUCUGCACCUACAUUUGGAUCACCUCGAUCCAUGACAGUCAUUCAGGCAGUAAUGCCUGGACUGGAAACAAGCAUCCUUAAAAUAAUACAACAUUCCAGCUCAUGUGUUGGAAUGAAAAACAAAUGUGUUGUUUAAAUUAGAGACUGCACUUGUGACAGAACAAUAAAUAUUUUAUUUUGAUUAUAUAAGUAAUGUAAGUACAAAACAAACUUGUGGUAGGC
ensembl:lncRNA